GGAGGGUAUAGCUCAGUGGUAGAGUGUGUGCUUAGCAUGCACAAGGUCCUGGGUUCAAUCCCCAGCACCUCCG
rnacentral:tRNA from 1 species